GACGAACGCUGGCGGCGUGCUUAACACAUGCAAGUCGAACGGUGAAGCCGGGGUUUUCUCUGCUGCUCCAGUGGCGAACGGGUGAGUAACACGUGAGUAACCUGCCCCUGACUCUGGGAUAAGUUCUGGAAACGGCGGCUAAUACCGGAUACGAGCUCCUACUGCAUCUUCAGGAGCGGGAAGUUACUGCGGUCGGGGAUGAGCUCGCGGCUUAUCAGCUUGUUGGUGGGGUAGUGGCUCACCAAGGCUUUGACGGGUAGCCGGCCUGAGAGGGUGACCGGCCACACUGGGACUGAGACACGGCCCAGACUCCUACGGGAGGCAGCAGUGGGGAAUAUUGCACAAUGGGCGGAAGCCUGAUGCAGCAACGCCGCGUGAGGGACGACGGCCUUCGGGUUGUAAACCUCUUUUGGCAGUGAAGAAGCGAGAGUGACGGUACCUGGAGAAGAAGCGCCGGCUAACUACGUG
rnacentral:rRNA from 1 species